UGAGGAACAUGACCUUCGGUGGGGGAGUAGCCGGCCCAACGGCCGGGUAAUACCGCGUACGACCAGUUGGGGACAUCCCCGAGUGGUGAAAGCAGCAAUGCGCCGAAAGAGUGCCUCGCGGCCUAUCAACUAGUUGGUGAGGUAAUGGCUCACCAAGGCGACGACGGGUAGCUGGUCUGAGAGGAUGGCCAGCCACAUUGGGACUGAGACACGGCCCAGACUCCUACGGGAGGNAG
rnacentral:rRNA from 1 species